CAUUAAUUAUUUUCAUCCCUAUUUAAGUCUCUCACAAAUUAAUGAAUUGCAUUAAUGGUUUGAUUUCAUAAUCGACUCGUGCAAAAAAAACCCUACUUAGAUGAACUUAAUUAAUUGUAUGCGUAAUUAUUUUUUUGUCUAAUUAACUGCAUUAAUGGCUUGAUUUACAAAUUGAUUUGGAGCUUCAUUUCCAAAUUGUGUUCGCAUUAAUGAUCGAGUACCGAUGAAAUGACUUACGGACUCCCAUUUAGGAGUAGAGAUGGAUCGAGAAGUGUUUUUUUAGAUAUUGAUAGGGAAGGAUUCAUGGAAACAAAUCGGAACGGAUCGGAAUUUUUUUGAGAAGAGGAAUAUCAAGUAAAUGCUGGGGUACUCUAGAAAAAGAUCGGUGGUGUUGUUCCUUUGUUGAAAAAAAUCGGUUUGAGGUGGAAUAAUAAUCGAUGAAAGGUGUAACGAAUGAAUGACCAACCUAUGUAAUGCUCCUUUAGGAGUUGAGAUACGAUUGAAAAAAAACUUCCAACUAUUAAUUAUUUGCAUCCUAAUUAAGGCGCUCACUGAUUAAGAAAUUGCAUUAAUGGCUUGAUUUCAAAAACCAUUUGACGCACAGAAAUCCC
rnacentral:lncRNA from 1 species